GAGGGGGAGAGGGGUUUAAUGUGAACUUCAAGCUGAUGUCUUCAUGCUACAGAAAGGAGAUUCCUAAUCAGUACAGUAUAUAUUUUCUAUAAUUGCCCUUUGGCAUUCCUUGUCUUUCCUGGCUAAUUAAAGUGAAAGAAGACUGUGGUGAAAUGUUCCAGUGUGUUUUCAUAGGAACAGAAAAACUAAAAACCCCUUUUGUUUAGAAAUGCGGGGUUAUCUUAAUGGUCCAGAGGGUCAGCUGUUCUCACAGGUACACUGCUAAAAUGUAGUACUAUUUUUCUUUCUGAAGCACGGCUGCAGCUCUGGGAGCAGCUCUGGGAGGCUGCACAGGAAUGCGGUCCCAUCUCACAGUGUGACAGCCCUAGACCAAGGUACAAAGGCAUCUGAAGGAUUUUAAGAGCAAUCCCUCCACAGGAAUGGCUUGAAUGUAUUCACAGUGCCACACACCUCCAGAAAGCAGGAUGUGCUUCUUAUUAGCAGCUGAGGACGGCUUGCUGAAAGGCUGCCAGCAUUUUCUUAUGAGAGAGAGCAUUACAUGCACUUAGUGAGUACAUGUGCAUAUAUAGAUAUAUAUAUUUCUAAUGUGUAUGUAAUGUUGUUUCUUGGCAUUUAUUUGGGGAAGGCUAGGUGGCACUGGGCAGUUCGUGCUGUGUCAGUUCUUAUUUGCUCUCACGUUCUUCUGUUUAUGUGAAUGCUCACACUGCAUGGAGCAAUGUCCUCUGCUACUGAGGGCAAGAAACCUCUCAGGUCCUCAUGGAGCCAAACGGAGAGGAAACAGGACAAGAAGGACACACAGGUCCAGAAGAGUGCCACAGAAAUGACCCAAGGGAUGGAACACCUCCCUACAAGGACAAGCUGAGAGAGCUGGGGCUGUUCAGUCUGGAGAAGAGAAGGCUCUGAAGAGACCUAAGGGCAACCUGUCAGUAUCUAAAGGUGGGCUACAAGAAAGAGGGGGACAGACUCUUUAGCGGGGUCUGUUGUGAUAGGAAAAGGGAAAUGGUUUCAAACUAAAAAAGAGGAGGUUUAGGUUGGAUAUAUAUAUAUAUAUUUUUUACAAUAAGAGCAGUGAAGCACCGGCACAGGUUUUCCAGACAGGUGGUGGAUGCCCCAUCCCUGGAGACAUUCAGAGUCCAUCUGGACAGGGCACUGAGCACCUGAUUGAGCUGUAGGUAUCCAUAGCAAGAGAGUUGGACCAGGCGGCCUUUAAAUCCUACUUCCAGCUCAAGCAAUUCUAUGAUUCUAUGAUCAUUCUCACAGUUUCAGGAACUCUGCCUAUAAGAUGCCUGUGUGCCACCUCAUCUUAUUCUUGCAAUGUGAUCUUCCUGUAUCUUUUACUCAAUAACACCUCUGUGCAAGUUUUCAUUAUUUGUUCUUGAGGUAGUACUAAAAAUAUCUCUUUUUUUCCCCUCUUCCUGAGCACUUUUUUAAAGAGAGCAGUUUUAUUUCUUGCCCUGAACCCAAUCUCACUGGAGGGGCAGGAAGGAACAUGCUCACCUGUGUGUCCUAUCCCCACUCUCCACUGUCUGCUUUUGUCUCUGGUGCGGUUUCGCUUCUGCUGGAUGACACAUGAAGGCCAUGUGUGGCCCAGCAGACCAUCUGAACACAGAGGUACUUCAGUGGCUCAACUGGGACAUGUCUCUGCACAUCACACAUUCCCUGUUAGGAAUCAGGUCAGUUUGCACCAAACUGGAGAAAAUCCUGAAGUUGCAGAUAGUGCCCUUUGCUACAAGGCUGCCAUCCCUUUUCCCCUUCGAAACAGCUGAAACGUCUGAAAUAGCAGCUGUUGAAUUUAUUUUCCCUUUACACAGCCUCUUUCUAAGGGAAACUGGACUGAUUAGUACCCAUUUGCUGGGUUCUGCUGCAUUAUGACACUAACAUGUGGCAUCAUUUCAAACCAGGUGGGAUUUUCUUUAAAGCAAUCUUUGGUGACAAAAAAAAUAAUAAAAAAUAAGAAAAUGUAGUUUUAGCUAAGCAAAAUGCAUUUUAAUAUGCAUUUCCCACGGCCCUGAUGUGAGAUGUAUCUUCUAAGUGCAGUACAUCACCUCAUGUCAGCAGUUAGACUCGAUGAUCCUUAUGGGUCUCUUCCAACUUGGGAUAUUCUAUGACUCUAUGAUUCUGCUGCUGUGCUCACAGACCACAUGCAGCAGCCAUCUGCAGCCUGAGCUUCUCCUCCUGCUCUAUCAUGAUGUCCAUCUGAGCCGGAGCAAUCCCCCAGCCCUACACCUCACAGCCCCAUCACACUGCAUCCCAGUGCACAGCAGUGGAAGGCAAGGGAGGGGCUUCAAAGGCGCUGGUCUCACAAUGGAGUUGGAGUAACUAGCUGCUGACAGAUUUAUAGGCUUCAGUCCAAUUAAAGUGCUGUUUAUUGCUUUUAGAAGGGGCCUGUUUGUUUCUAAUUUUAGAAGUAGGUUGGGGAAGUGACUAGAAUUGUGAGUAAGGGACCUGAGAUUUUUCACUAGGGCUUCUGGUGCUAUUCAUUAAUAGGAGUUGUUGAUAAUUAUUUAGCCUGGGACCUCAACCAACCACGGCAGGGCAGAAAUUCAGGGCAGCACCCAAAAAGCAGCGAAAGGGCUUUCCUUUGCUCCCCCUGCCCUGCUACAUCUGCUGAUUUUGGUGUGUGUUCGACCAGCCACUUUGUAAAGAGCUCCCCUUGUUCCCUAUGCAUCUCUUCCGCUCUCUCAAGUUGAUUCAUUUUAUGUGCUCCUUUUAAAGAGAAUAAAAAGUACGCCGGUGUGAAUGAUUGUUCCUAUCUCUGGCCAGCAGCGAUAGGAACCUUGGGCCAAUUGCCAGAAGGAAGUGGAGAAAUAACAAAUCUUGCCUGCGAGAUGAAAUCAGAGCUGGAAUCGGGAUUCCUGUGUUGUGCCCCUAAGUUUGCGCAGUUUUGCUGUACAGUGGUGGGAAGCCCCUUUGAUGUCAGCUUCCCACUGUCUAGAAAAGCUGCAAUAUAAAGUUAUUGUAAAACUUGGUUAUUUGUUUGUGCGGUACUUUGAGAGCCGCUGGUGAAAGGCGCUGGAUAACUGCGCGGUUCCCUGUGGUUUGUAAAACAUGCGUUGAUCACCAUUUACCAGAAGGCAAUGACAGUGGGUUUUUAACAGAGAGAGGCCCGACCCAGACACAGCACACUCAUGUUUCCAGGUCCUGGGGAAGUUUAUGUCCUGAACGUGCAUCCAAGCCCAGCGCCUGUGCAGAAGGCAGAAGGAAAACCACAUCCCAGUGUGCCAGCCUUGGGAUCGGGAGGUCCCAUCCUCUGCCGUUGGAGUUUGAUCUGGAACUGGGGCAUCCCAUAAGAACUCAUCUUAGAUGGAGACAGCCAGAGCCCAGUGAGCCUCACCUUUCCUUCCCCUGCCCUGAGCCAUCUGCAAUAAUCCUUUAGCUGUGGGCCGAAGACAUAAGAAAUAAACUACAAUAAAAAAGAUAAAAGGGAGCAUAAAUCGAUUUCUGUGGUAGCUGAGGCUUGAAGUAUGCCUAAAUAUCACUUAGAUUGCACACUGUUUGGGCCGUGUGCCAUCCUUUUAUUACUUAUCCAUAUACAGGAGAUUUCAUUGACGAUCUGUUAAAAAUAUAUACCUCUAUUCUGGUUGAAUCUAGAAAUUUUUUAGCCGAAAACAAGAAUAUUUGAGCUGAAACUGCUGUUUUUUGGUGGUUUUUUUUUUUUCCCCCAAACUGAAUUUCUUUUCUUUUCAAAAACAAGUAGAUCAAAGUAGGGUGUUUGGUUUUAAGUUCAAUAAAAGCAAUACUUUUCUUCUUCAGGGCAGUUUUUUGCCUAUAGCUAAUUUUUUUUGGCCAUGUCUAACAUACAACAUCUCCUUAGAAAUCCAUCUUCCGUAAGCAGGAUUAUUACAGAAAAAUAGAAGUGUGUUGGGAUGCCAGGAGGGGAGAAUAUAAUCUCACCUUUUUCUUUUAUCCUAACAGACAGCCUCAGUGGGCUAAUAGCCAAGAGGGUCGAGGUAUUAAAGCACCCUGCACAGACCACAGCAGAUGGAAAAGAUCUGAGUUGGGCAAAAUGAUCGUUGCUGAAAGUUGCACUGUUACGUGAAACCAUUACAGGAGAGCAGAGCACCAGGAAAGGAGCAUCUUGCCUAUUGGACACAUUUUUGUGAUACUACAAAGGAAUUACUUGUGGUGUCAGUGAUGUAGAUUGCUUCUAGCACUCAAGAAAACCUUCCUUCUCAAAUGAGGGUUGGUCCUGUGGGUCACUCUUAGGAGAAUAUCUAAAAUCAGGCCAUUCUGCUGGACUCAGAGCAGCAGUCAGUGCUGUAGUUGGAAGAAGGCUGAGAACAUGUAGGAAUGGAAGCCCCAAGGGGCUUUGGCUGGGCAGCAAUAUCCCACUGCUGCCCUGUGCUUUCCAAGUAGUUUGGAAAGAUCUAACAUGAUGGAGCUGCAGAGCACCACCUGAGCUUUUGGUAGAGAAAAAGUCUCUAGGAAUCUCUCACCAGCUGUCAUUCAAAUAGACAGUAGGCAGGAGGAAGGUCAUACAUGGGUUUUAUAGGUUUAGGAAUCCUUCAGCGUUAUCAAGCCAACUGCAUCACUUCAUGGAACGAUUGGCCUUGUAUUCAUCAGAUGAAUGCUAAUAUUCAUAAACUUCUUCCUAGUCACUUUUAUUAUAGAAUACGAUGAAAAUAAUAAAUACAUAAAAGGAACUUCCAGGACAUCAUUUGGGCUCCACGACUGACUCACUCUGCAACCUUGGGUGAGUCUCUUAAUGCCAGGUACCUCCUGCUUCCUCUCUGAUAAGUUAACAAAUGCAAAAAGACUAAGAAAAAGGAAAAGUAGUUACAUUUGUAGAUAACAGGAACUUACUUUCAGACCAGUUGAUACCAGUAGCCCACAACCAAUAGGUCAUUUAUAGAAUCAUAGAAUCAUUUAGGUUAGAAAAGAUCUCUAAGACCACCUAGUCCAAUCAUCCACCUACCACCAGUAUUGCCCACUAAACCAUGUCCCUUAGUACCACAUCUACACAUCACCUCCAGGGACAGUGACUUCACCACCUCCCUGGGCAGUCCUUUCCAGUGCCCAGUGACUCUUUUGAAGAAGUUUUUCCUAAUAUCCAAACUGAAGGGAGAAUUUGGUAGAGUCCUCUCUUCUGAGAACAUCACAAAUGUAAAUAAAACCUAUGUGAUGCCCAAAGUCUACUAAUAUGGUGAUUUAUAUUUUACAGACACAUCCCUGACAAGGGCUGAGGCCCCAAAACUGAAUACAAGAGGCUGCUGACACACUGAGCCAUUGGAUGAAUCAUAUUUUAAGUAAAAUACAGGCUUCUUUCAGUGCUUAUAAAUAGUGGGACUAGGAAUACAAGAGUUCCAGCUCAUAGAAUGCAACUUCAUACGUGGUUCAUACUCUGAGCUUUGAAUGUAAUCUCAGCAUGGCACAAAUCUGCUGAUAGGCAAUUGUGGAUAUAAGGGUGACUACCUGUAAAGCUAUAUGGGAAUUGCUAAGUCACAGCCUGAACCAAUGAUUGAGCACUCGGCGAAGGGACACAGCCGGUCCUGUAAGCACAGGUGAAAACAGGUUCCACCCUUUUCUAAGCCUCAUUUAAGGGCUGGCUGCCACAAGGGAAGGUUUUCUACCUGGAGAUCCCUUCCUUUGGAAUAUUGAACAGGACCUGAUCCUUGAGGGGGUUUGUUUAGAAACCAGAUGCAGAGGAGCACGGCGUCGCCACACGUGGCAGGGCAACAGCAUCCUGCUCCUUAGUGCUGCAAUGGGGAGCAACCUCGCACAGCCCGUGUCAGCACACCAGUGAGCUGAGGUAGGGCGAGGGUGCACAAUUCAAGUGAAUGGCAGACGAUGACAAGCUAAAAAUCUAUCUGAGUAAUUGAAAAACGUUCGUGUUGUUGCAUUCUUGGAAAUAAAACUGGCACACGUUCUGCAGAAACGGCAAAGUGGUGGGAACAAUUGAUCAUGAUGGGGCUGGGUAGAGAAAUAGAGCCAUCUCUUGUGGGUUUGAGCAACUCGUUGGCUGCUUCAAUAAAUAAGUGGGCAGGGGCAUAAGCCCAGCACAAAUAAGAGCAGCACUAGUAGCUGAGUUUGGACCCAUAGACUGGGCUGGAGGCAUGGGGCUGGCUGGUCUGUGAGGUCUGACAUAGGGUGGGGGGAGGCUGUAGCUAAUCCAGAGGAACAGAUGUGCAUCCAGUUCACAGUUGGUGACCAGUGUAAGCUUUGGGUUAGAUUUAGAAAGAGGACACUCAAGGCAGGAUAUUUUUUUUUUAGGUUCUUAGUAAGACAUCCCAGGACCAUAUCUUUAAUGGAGAAUUAGCCUUCCUGUAGUCUCUGCCUGCCUCAGAACACCAAUGCUGCAAGCUGGGAACUGACAGCUGGAUCUGCAGGACACCAACUGCAUCUCUCUGCUCCUGAGACUUGGGGAGAGCCCUCAGGGCUGUGAUAAAGUAGAUGCAACUGAGGUGACCACCUGAUCUUUAAUCUUCUUGGUGAGUAAUUACCAAACUCAGAACAUCUGCACCAUGCAGGCACCAGUGGCUUUUUGCUGUAACAUCCCUUGGGAUGAGAGAUGAUGGCAUUGAGUUGGUCCAGGAAGGCUCAUAGACCUCAACAGUCUCCUUCAGCAUGACUCUGGGGUAAUGAAGAAACAGAAGUUGUGCAUCAGCAGGCUCCUGCACUGUUUGUCCCAUCUGCAAGCCCAGGCUCCUCCUGUCAUGUCUGGGAUGGCUGCAUCUUUGAAGAGUGCAUGGGACCAGAAUCAGCCACGAUUCUCAUGUUGGGAUGCUCACAUUCAAGGUGGAUCUGAGGCCUGCAGGAAAUGGUAAUAAUGUGAGAUUCCACCUGGAAGAAGCUUUCUUGCAGGUGAGUCUGGCAAGAGGCUCAGUGAGCAGCUGGAAGGAGACCAAGAGGAAAAGCAGAAGUGGGCAGGCUCCUGGAAGGCUGGGAAAGGUGGGCAUGUCACAUCACUUGCUAAGAGAGCCCCAGAGUGCUCUGAGAGUUGUGAAAAAAGGUAGAGACAGUUUUAGUCCAAAAUGUGUUCUAAAAAACACCUAAUAUCAACUAGUUUUCAGCUGGUUCUGUCUGAGAAAAGAAAAAUUUAGAAGCCUAACUAAUCCAUAGCACUAAGAUUCUUACCUAACCUUUAAUUUCUUAAAAAUAACAGCAGGAAAUUAAUGAGAAAAUGUUAUUUUGCUGGUCAGAUAGAAGCAGAAGCAAGUAAAUUUUCUGCUGUGCUUGACUUCAGUGUUGGUUCAUUCAGUGCCACAGCCUCUGAGAAAGGAACUGAAAAAGAAUCUGACUACUUAGAAUCACAAUAGUGUUGAUGGACAUGUUCAUCUGUCAUAUUAAGGCUCCUCAUCAUCCCACAUUCAAUUCUUGGCCAGAUCCAGCAAAGGACAGAGGCAUCUGUGAGAAGAAUUUCAAUAGAAUUCCAGAGAAUUACAAUGGAAUUACACAACAGCACGGAAAAUUUAUUUCUUGUUGACAUGAAGAGUCUGUUUUUUGUUUUCCCACACUGCUGGAGGAUGGUAGCAGAAACAUUAAUGGAUGUGGAUCAGCAACAUCGCUCACAGACUGGGAGAGGAGGAAGAAUAUCCUGCCCUUUACCACUGAAGCUUAAUACCAACUUACAGACCAAUCCAUGGCACUCAUAUUCCUGUCAGCAGAUGUGGAUUUUCCAGCAGCAAAUAAGCCACUAAUGGUACAAAGUCUUUCUCAACAUGGUGUAACACUUGACCAACCCAGGCCAAAAAAUGAAGUCAACUCAUGCAUGUUACUGUAUCACAUCAGGCCAAAGAGCUUUGUCCUUCUGUCACCUAGCAAGGACUGUGUAUGGGGGACUCUUGUGUGUAUGUGUUACAAACCACUGUUGGUCACAUUAACAGAAUAAGAAACCAGAAACAUAAUGGAGGUCAAGUAUGAAGUGUUGUGAGCCUCCAAAUGUAGAGGUCAGGCAUACAGUGAAAACAACAAAACAAAAUUGUAAUGCUAGUUGCAAGCUGCGUGGAUAAUCAAUACCAGAAUGUGAUUCCUUUUAAUCAGGGGUUAUUUUAGAUGGCAUCAGAGGGGAAAAAAAAAAAUAAGUCUAAAUUUGCUAAUUGGGAAGUUGAAAACCAUGGCUGACAGCAGGCUCCCAGGAAAGAAGUAGGUUGCAUGCAGUAAGAGUAGUGUUCAGCAACAAGGUCACAGCAGUUAGAUCACCAGUGAGAUAGAAGUUCAUACUAAGGUAAUUCUUGUGAAUUCUUUUGUAUGCUCGAAGCAGAACAAGGAUAUUGAAGUGUACUAUCUGGAGGAUUCUCUCCAUGGCACAGCACUCAUGAAUGAAAGCUCUCUGAUCUCAGCCUCUGAAUUGAACCAACAGCUAUCCUAGGCCUAGUAAGAUGGAAAGGCAGCUAUUUCCCAGAACUCGAAUGAUAUCCCCUCAAAAAGUAUUUGAGCAACUGUUCUUUUGCAUUAAACUGUCCUCAGCUGAGGUGAGGUGGGUUAUUGUCAUAGUAGUGUGUGUGUGUGUGUGUGUAUUUUUUUACCUAAGUUUUUUGGUGUCUCUGAGUUGCCUCUUGCCUCAGCACAUCCUUUGCAGCAGGCAGGGUGCUGGGUGAGCCAUUGGGCUGCAGUGUUCAGUCAUGCUGUUUUUCUCUACUCGCUGUGGAUGCUGUCAGUUGGCACGUGGAGGCUCUCUGUUGAUGAAUGAGUGCUGUGAAGCAGAUGGGAUGGAAACAGAGAUGUUAUUGACAUUCAGUCAGACCCCAGUGAGCAGCUUUUUGGCACCAAUGGGCUGAGACAUGCCCACUUUUUAAAAGCUGGUCUUUUUUCAUUGACAUGACCCCGUGUGACAGCUCCCUCUCCUGAGAUUUCUUCUGAUUUGAUUUAUGGAGUCUGAAUUCCAGCUGCAUGCUACUUGGGGCACAGACCGAUGUGAUGCUCCAUGUGAGGUGCCCAGACAAAACAACAGCUUUAAAAUGUCAUCCAGCAGCCCCAGAAAGACUUGUCAGAGCUGGAGGGGACAGAUUCAUCGCUUGCAGGCAAAGGGAAAUGAGGAAAUGCAGGAGUUGUGCUGUAGGAAAAUCUCCCCCUAAACUGCUUUCUCCCAUGUACGAUUGCCUAUGCUGAGCCUAUUCAAGGAGUCUUUGGGAAAUACCUAAGAGGAUUUUUCCUUUCAGAUUAAGUGAUUUCUGGAUGAUUUUACCCACAGCACAUCAGCAGGGGGUGAGUUUAGCUGCACUUUGCCUGCACCAGUGAAAGAGAGGCUCAUUCUUUUGAAAAUCAUCCACUAAAUUAAUGAAGACGUGAAUGUACAUUAGGCUGAACCUAUUUAGCUUAUUAAAGGCUCCUCUCUCAGAUCAUUUCCUUCUGUGUGUCUUUACAUCGCAGGCUCUUCUGUUUGUAAUUUCCAAAGUUAGGGAGGAAAAAAAAAAAGAUUGUAUUUUUUAAGAGGUUAUUCUCAGCUUUCAGCAGUCAGAAACUGUAUGUACAGUAGUCAGCCUGAAAUCCCAUAGGAAGAUGGAAGACCUCGCUGUGCUCAGUUAAUGCAGUAAUGAUGACUGUUGCUCUCUGCUCAAACAUAACUUGAGGUGAGUGCCACGAUUAACAAGGAGUAAGAACCUAAAUGAAAUGUCAAUUUCUGUUUUGUUGUGUUGAAUGAAUUACCAGGACCUUCAUGAUCUGAAACUUUGGCUAGGAUCAUUCUGCUCUCCUGGGGAAAAUAAAAUGUUUGGUCAGUGCCAGUUC